rnacentral:rRNA from 1 species
CAGUAGCCACGGGAAUACGAAGGGUGCAAGCGUUAAUCGGAAUUACUGGGCGUAAAGCGUGCGUAGGCGGUGAGUUAAGUCUGCUGUGAAAUCCCCGGGCUCAACCUGGGAAUGGCAGUGGAUACUGGCUCGCUAGAGUGUGUCAGAGGAUGGUGGAAUUCCCGGUAUAGCGGUGAAAUGCGUAGAGAUCGGGAGGAACAUCAGUGGCGAAGGCGACUAUCUGGGCCAACACUGACACUGAGGCACGAAAGCGUGGGGAGCAAACAGGAUUAGAUACCCCAGUAGUCCCUGUCUCUUAUAC